AAUUUUGGGCAAUGGGCGAAAGCCUGACCCAGCAACGCCGCGUGAGGGAUGAAGGCCCUCGGGUCGUAAACCUCUGUCGGGAGGGAAGAAUGGUUGCCGUUCGAACAGGGCGGGAACCUGACGGUACCUCCAAAGGAAGCACCGGCUAACUCCGUGCCAGCAGCCGCGGUAAUACGGGGGGGGCAAGCGUUGUUCGGAAUUACUGGGCGUAAAGGGCUCGUAGGCGGCCAACUAAGUCAGACGUGAAAUCCCCAGGCUUAACCUGGGAACUGCGUCUGAUACUGGAUGGCUUGAAUUCGGGAGAGGGAUGCAGAAUUCCAGGUGUAGCGGUGAAAUGCGUAGAUAUCUGGAGGAAUACCGGUGGCGAAGGCGGCAUCCUGGACCGACAUUGACGCUGAGGAGCGAAAGCUAGGGGAGCAAAC
rnacentral:rRNA from 1 species